rnacentral:rRNA from 1 species
GACGAACGCUGGCGGCGUGCUUAACACAUGCAAGUCGAACGGUGACCCAGGGCUUGCCCUGGUGAUCAGUGGCGAACGGGUGAGUAACACGUGGGCAACCUGCCCCUGACUUCGGGAUAACUCCUCGAAAGAGGAGCUAAUACCGGAUACGACCACUUCGGACAUCCGAUGGUGGUGGAAAGUUUUCGGUCAGGGAUGGGCCCGCGGCCUAUCAGCUAGUUGGUGGGGUAAUGGCCUACCAAGGCGACGACGGGUAGCCGGCCUGAGAGGGCGACCGGCCACACUGGGACUGAGACACGGCCCAGACUCCUACGGGAGGCAGCAGUGGGGAAUAUUGCGCAAUGGGCGAAAGCCUGACGCAGCGACGCCGCGUGAGGGAUGAAGGCCUUCGGGUUGUAAACCGUCUUUCUAGCAGGGACGAAGCGAAAGUGACGGUACCUGCAGAAGAAGCACCGGCUAACUACGUGCCAGCAGCCGCGGUAAU